CAUCUACAUAUGUACAUACACACAAACAUGUCUACAUAUGUACAUACAAACAUGUCUAAACAGGUAUACACACACAAGGAAAGGUCUCAUAGCUUUUACCUUGGGAUUCCAACCGUAAAGUAACAGUACACACUCAGUAUUUUAUAAAAAAUAGCUGGAUACACGUUAUUGUCUGACAAAACUGGAACCUGUUUCCAUGGCUAAAUUGUGUUUUCUCCAAUAUAUAAUCUAUGAAAGCUGUAAACCAAAAUUUGAGUAAAGCAAUCUUUAUGGCAGUUUUGUUUUUAAGAAAGCAUCUUUUACCUUUUUCUUUUCCUUCAGUUUUAAACAAGUUUCGUUUGUUUACUUUCUAAUUAGUCCGUAAAUAAUGUGUCUUAUCACAGCACCAACAGCUUAGUAACAGCCAAUCUGAAGCAGGCAGAAAACAAAACAGAGGAAGAAAGAGGUUUUGAUGACUCUGCUUCACUUAAUAGCUGCAGUUAACCAUUUGAGCUCUCAAGUUUUCUUGCUAUAGUUUGCCUCUCUAUUUAAAAUGUUCACAAAAGUAGGUCUUAAUAAGUAGCCAGCUGAAAUCCAGAAGAGAAUGAGAAUAUGAAUUUCCUGCCAGGACUCUGCAGAGGAGCCAGGUUUAAAAUCUGGCUCCUUUAAAAGGAGGGAAAGAGAAAAUGAUAGAAAAGGAGGUUUGUGAACCUUCUAGCUGCUGCAUGGUAUAGGGUUGGUACCCCCACCACUCUUGCUGACAUCCCAUCAGGGAGAGCCCCAGUACCCUGGACAUGCACAGUGUGAGACAAAUCCCUCCCACCUCUACAAGUCAUGGGCAAAGGAAACUGUUGACAGCUGGCGAGAGCUAGGGGUACCUUUGACUGAGAUGAGUAAGGCUGUAGGUGGCUUCUAAGAUAAUCAGGAAGAUGAAGUUGAAAGUGAAAAAGAUAGGAAGAGAUAAGGGCCCACACUCAAAGGUCAUACACUCACACUUACAAACAAAUGGUGAGCUUCCAAACAAACCCCAGUUAAGGGCUGGGUAGAAUCCUGAAUUUCUUUCCUCUGUUCAAAACAGCUCCACAGGUAUCUGAAACCAAGUGGAGCGAUGCCCAGGAGUGCCACAAAUUCUAAUCCGUCAAACACUCAAAUGAUAGUCCCGUUAGUGAACAAGACGAAACAGCAGAGCCCCAGCGACACCCCAGAAGACACGAGAAAGCUGGGUGCAAUCCGACCAGCUCCCUUGGUUGCAAGGGUUGCCAGCUUCUUCAGAGGUCACAUUCUUUGUACCAGCAAAGUGUCGAUGGCUGCAGAAGUUGUGCGAGGAAGUGAAAGGGAGGGUCUAGGAAAUGAAAGAUUUUCAGCAGCCACUUGGAAGUUCCCUAACGUUCCUGCCGUGGGGUCUGCUAGCCUUCAGCUGCAGGUACUCACAGGUAACCCUCCGCCUUGGUAGCAAAACCAGGCUCACAGGCUUGGGUUGCCCAGAGCACAUAAUGCUCCCCAUAUGGGCCACCAAAUUUGUUACCAAACACAGGUUUGGCCACUUGUCACUGACAGUAUCAAAUAACAAGCAUGAGGGUGGUAAAAAGAAAGUGACUUUAUUUCACAGUUUAGCAAUGGAGAAGAACCGGGUUCGUAUCUAAAGGAGCCGCUUCAGUUUUCUGGGAAGAAAGCAGGGUUUUAAGAAGAGAAACUUUCUUAUGCAGGGCGUGCAAGGAACAUGGAGGUGCGGGGUCUAUGUGUCUUGCUGUAAAACUUAGCUAAGAGGUCAUUGGUUAGUCUGACCAGUGUCAUUGAGGACAGAGUCGGAAUGUGGAUUAACAAUUGUCUUGAGACAGUCUCCCUCUGAGGGAGAAUUCUGGAUGGUGCCUGCUUUGGUUCAACAUUUGGUCCUUAGAAUUUCUAAGGAAACAUACUUAGAUAAGCUGGCAGUCCUUGCAGGCUGUUUCACUGGUGGAAACGAAGGAAGGAAAAGGUUAAAUUUGCCUUUCAAAGGAGCUAAGGAAGAGGUGGACAGUGAGAAAGAGAAAAAAUACACAGGUAAUUUUUAGGAAAAUGCUAUACUGGGCUAAAAUUUAACAUAAUUUCACUGUGUCUAAAGUGCUACCCUAUACUUCAUGCAAGCUAUGCUUGUGGCAUUCAUGGAGUGAUGAACAGAGAAAAAAAUAGUUUUAAAGUGCAAAGGAAACUAGAGAUUCUUUUAAGGAAAAUCAGUGAAGGAAGAAACCUUUAUUGGCUUCUCCUUUUGGUGAGAAAUGUUCUCUUAUAAGUAGACAACUGUACUUUAAUUAUUUCAUAAUGUAGUGAUUUUACCAGCCACAACUAGCAGGAUAACAUAGGAAAGGCAAGUUGUUGUCCACACAGGGUCACUAUAUCUACCUAACACACCAUUUACGUUAUUUCUAAAAAUAACCUUCAUCCUUGGGCUUGAUGCAGGAUCACUGAGUCAUGGAAAACUUUGUGUUUGUGUAGUCAGAAAUGAGAUGAAAGCAUAAAGGUAAAUUUUUCUUUAUUAAAGAAUUCAUUUAAAUUACUUUUCUUUGUAUCUUUGCUUUUUGUUUCUGUACUGCUCCAGUACUCCUGUGAACCAUGUGUGAGUGGAGUAAUGAUGGCACCACAGUCCAACCUGCAUGGCUAUUGGCCUGAGUGCUCCCGCCUCAUGAAAUUCAGCCACCUCUUUCUCCAGUCAGUUCCAUAUUCUCAACUCCCAGUGUCUUCCAGAGUCCGUGUCACACCACAGCCUGGAAACUCUCCCCAAGCGUUACUCCAUCAUUACUCUACCACCGCCUAUAUGGAUGUAAUUGUCAGUGUGAAGCUGAGUAAGGAACAACGUGCACCAGACUCACAGAGAAAAAUGGACAAGCGAGCUGGCCUUUGUAUCACUAAAGGGAAGGUUUGGAAUAAUUCAUCAGUGUAAUCUUCUCAACCUGGUCAAUCACAUGAACUUCGAAGAUGAUUCCUCCCCAGCUGAUCCUUCAGGCCUCUCUGGACGGUGGCUAUAACCUAUAGCCUUGCCCAGUACGACUCAGCGUUUGGUACUGGCUGUGCCUUUCAUGGGAUGCUUACUUAUCCUGAUGGAUGGCCUAAAGCCGAACUGUCCAGCUUAUAUCCAGGUAUCCUUCUCAGAGAGUACUUGUUUAUACUGUAAGACACCCUGUGGCUCCCGUCUGACCUCUGUCUAGUUUAUUUCUACCAAGGUAACCACUCUUUAGGAGAGUGCUGAGUGGGAGAAAAGUGAGGUCCAUGUGUGUUCGUCAAGUGAAAUACAGAGGAGGCAACUCAACACAAUGUGUAUAAUGGCGUUAGUAAUGUAUUACUAACCUAUCCCAGUAAGAAGAGGCCAGCAUUCCUUGAAGUGCCAGUGAAAAGAGAAGAGCUCUCCAGGCCACACACUCAUAAGCAGCAGGGGUGGUGGAGGAGGAACUAGAGAAAGACAUGCUAUUGCCCCAUUUGUCUGAAGUCUUUAUGGGUGUAUUUGUCAGUUUUUUUUUUUCCAGCGAGACAGAACUACAGGGAGGUAGAUAGGUAGGUAGACAGAUACGUAGUUGGAGAGUUGAUAGAUAGACAAUAGUUAGAUGAAUGGCAUUUUGUUUUGGGAUUUACUCGUGUAACAUUGUAGAGUCGGAGAAUUCCCGAGACAGCCAUCUGCGAGUUUAAGGACCUUGGAUGCUGUAGCGUGAUGGCUCAGUCUAAAGCUGAAAUCUUCAGAACCAGGGAAGCUCUUGGUGUAAUUCUCAGUUUGGGACCAAUGGCCUGAGAAUCCAGGGCAUUUACUGGUAUAAGUUCUGGAGUUUCAAGGUCAUAGAUUAUGGAGUUUUAUUUUCCAAGAGCAGGAAAAGGAGUAUACUUUCUCCUGGAGAGAUACCGGAAAACUUUUUAAAUUUUUUUUCGUUUUUGGUUUUAUUUGGUCCCCAAGGAGAUUGUAUGCUGCCUUUCCUCAUUGAGGGUGGGUUUUCCCACUAAAUUCCCUGACUCAUACCAACCUCCUCUGGAAACACCCUGGCGGACACACCCAGAAGUAAUGCUUUACCAAUUCUCUAGGUAUUCUUUAAUCCAGUCAGCACCUUAAAUUAACCAUGACAAGUCCAGCACCUUUCUAGUUGGCACCUAUAUGUAUCACCUUAAGCCAUAACUAAUCUUUAGAUACAGACAAUAACAAGGCAAUAGUUCUACCUAACAUGAUGCAACCAUCCUGUGUGCAACCGAAACACACUAUACUAUUUGUCUUAAGAGCAGUGGAAGUUUGUGGGUGAUGUUUACUCUUCUCCUGAUACCCCAUAACUUCAAUACAAGUAUGUGAAAUUCCUAACACUUAACUGUAGUAUCAAGUUAACACAUUUUGUGUUUUGUAAUAAAAGAAUAAGAGAGAAAUAAAAACAAUGUUAUUUGCCUAGUAUAUUGAUAUAUAACAUGCAAAUGUAUUCUUUUUUUUUCUGUGUUUUUAUGCUUGUAUUAUGCAUAUGUCUGAAUCCAUAUUUUUUUUCUUUUUUUCUUUCUUUUUUUUAUUAUUAUAAUACUUUAAG